rnacentral:lncRNA from 10 species
CUCCAGCCUUCCUCUUUUACUAGACAGACAACUAAGCCUGGAGGACUUUCCUUGCCUAUGAACUACAGUUUAUUUACCUAUAAACUAUAAUUUAUCCAUAGAAAUUAUCUCUCCCAUCUUUGACACCAAGACCAUAAAAUUAUAUAAUACAGAAAAAAGUUAUAAAAGAUUGUUUAAUAAAAUAAUGAUAAGAUUUAAAAAAUAAGCAAACUAUAUGUUGCUGUCAAAAUGUGCCUCCUGACUUCCUCCCUUUGGACUCUUCUCCAGGAAAAGAGAAAAUUGCAUAAAGACAAAGACUAGUACUGAGUUACAGUGGUUCAGCAUAUAAUUUUGUGACUUUAGGGUGGUUGGAAAGUAAUGCUUAUCCAGUAGAAAUCAGUACAAUACUCGCUUGUGCUGUUGAGCAAUGGCAGCAAGGUGCAACUCCCAGUCAGCCAAAUGAUCACAAGCUGAUUCUUGGAGUGUGCUAUCAAAAGAGAAUGUUCUGCAUUUCAGUGCUUGCUUGAAAGCUUAGGUACAAGACACAGUUCAACCUGUG